UACGUAGGGUGCGAGCGUUAAUCGGAAUUACUGGGCGUAAAGCGUGCGCAGGCGGUUUUGUAAGCCGGAUGUGAAAUCCCCGGGCUUAACCUGGGAACUGCAUUUGUGACUGCACAGCUGGAGUGCGGCAGAGGGGGAUGGAAUUCCGCGUGUAGCAGUGAAAUGCGUAGAUAUGCGGAGGAACACCGAUGGCGAAGGCAAUCCCCUGGGCCUGCACUGACGCUCAUGCACGAAAGCGUGGGGAGCAAACAGG
rnacentral:rRNA from 1 species